AGUCGUAACAAGGUUUCCGUAGGUGAACCUGCGGAAGGAUCAUUACCGAGUGCGGACCCCUCGCGGGUCCAACCUCCCACCCGUGUCUCUUGUAUACCCUGUUGCUUUGGCGGGCCCACCGGGGCCACCCCGGUCGCCGGGGGGCGAGCACGCCCCCGGGCCCGCGCCCGCCAGAGCGCUCUGUGAACCCUUAUGAAGAUGGACUGUCUGAGUGUCUUGAUAAUAAUCAAAACUUUCAACAAUGGAUCUCUUGGUUCCGGCAUCGAUGAAGAACGCAGCGAAAUGCGAUAAGUAAUGUGAAUUGCAGAAUUCCGUGAAUCAUCGAAUCUUUGAACGCACAUUGCGCCCCCUGGCAUUCCGGGGGGCAUGCCUGUCCGAGCGUCAUUUCUGCCCUCAAGCACGGCUUGUGUGUUGGGUGUGGUCCCCCCCCAUCCCGGGGGGGACCUGCCCGAAAGGCAGCGGCGACGCCCGCCUAGGUCCUCGAGCGUAUGGGGCUUUGUCACUCGCUCGGGAGGGGCCUGCGGGCGUUGGUCAUCCCUCAACAUUUUUCCACGGUUGACCUCGGAUCAGGUAGGAGUUACCCGCUGAACUUAAGCAUAUCAAU
rnacentral:misc_RNA from 1 species